GUUCAGGAUGAACGCUAGCUACAGGCUUAACACAUGCAAGUCGAGGGGCAUCAGGAAGAAAGCUUGCUUUCUUUGCUGGCGACCGGCGCACGGGUGAGUAACACGUAUCCAACCUGCCCUUUACUCGGGGAUAGCCUUUCGAAAGAAAGAUUAAUACCCGAUAGCAUAAUGAUUCCGCAUGGUUUCAUUAUUAAAGGAUUCCGGUAAAGGAUGGGGAUGCGUUCCAUUAGGUUGUUGGUGAGGUAACGGCCCACCAAGCCUUCGAUGGAUAGGGGUUCUGAGAGGAAGGUCCCCCACAUUGGAACUGAGACACGGUCCAAACUCCUACGGGAGGCAGCAGUGAGGAAUAUUGGUCAAUGGGCGCUAGCCUGAACCAGCCAAGUAGCGUGAAGGAUGAAGGCUCUAUGGGUCGUAAACUUCUUUUAUAUAAGAAUAAAGUGCAGUAUGUAUACUGUUUUGUAUGUAUUAUAUGAAUAAGGAUCGGCUAACUCCGUGCCAGCAGCCGCGGUAAUACGGAGGAUCCGAGCGUUAUCCGGAUUUAUUGGGUUUAAAGGGAGCGUAGGUGGACUGGUAAGUCAGUUGUGAAAGUUUGCGGCUCAACCGUAAAAUUGCAGUUGAUACUGUCAGUCUUGAGUACAGUAGAGGUGGGCGGAAUUCGUGGUGUAGCGGUGAAAUGCUUAGAUAUCACGAAGAACUCCGAUUGCGAAGGGCAGCUCACUGGACUGCAACUGACACUGAUGCUCGAAAGUGUGGGUAUCAAACAGGAUUAGAUACCCUGGUAGUCCACACAGUAAACGAUGAAUACUCGCUGUUUGCGAUAUACAGUAAGCGGCCAAGCGAAAGCAUUAAGUAUUCCACCUGGGGAGUACGCCGGCAACGGUGAAACUCAAAGGAAUUGACGGGGGCCCGCACAAGCGGAGGAACAUGUGGUUUAAUUCGAUGAUACGCGAGGAACCUUACCCGGGCUUAAAUUGCAGUGGAAUGAUGUGGAAACAUGUCAGUGAGCAAUCACCGCUGUGAAGGUGCUGCAUGGUUGUCGUCAGCUCGUGCCGUGAGGUGUCGGCUUAAGUGCCAUAACGAGCGCAACCCUUAUCUUUAGUUACUAACAGGUUAUGCUGAGGACUCUAGAGAGACUGCCGUCGUAAGAUGUGAGGAAGGUGGGGAUGACGUCAAAUCAGCACGGCCCUUACGUCCGGGGCUACACACGUGUUACAAUGGGGGGUACAGAAGGCAGCUAGCGGGUGACCGUAUGCUAAUCCCAAAAUCCUCUCUCAGUUCGGAUCGAAGUCUGCAACCCGACUUCGUGAAGCUGGAUUCGCUAGUAAUCGCGCAUCAGCCACGGCGCGGUGAAUACGUUCCCGGGCCUUGUACACACCGCCCGUCAAGCCACGGGAGCCGGGGGUACCUGAAGUACGUAACCGCAAGGAUCGUCCUAGGGUAAAACU
rnacentral:rRNA from 1 species